AGAGCGAACGCUGGCGGCAGGCCUAACACAUGCAAGUCGAGCGCCCGUAGCAAUACGGGAGCGGCAGACGGGAUAGUAACACGUGGGAACGCGCCCUUCGGUUCGGAAUAACUCAGGGAAACUUGAGCUAAUACCGAAUACGCCCUUACGGGGAAAGAUUUAUUGCCGAAGGAACGGCCCGCGUCCGAUUAGCUAGUUGGUGAGGUAAUGGCUCACCAAGGCUACGAUCGGUAGCUGGUCUGAGAGGAUGACCAGCAUCACUGGGACUGAGACACGGCCCAGACUCCUACGGGAGGCAGCAGUGGGGAAUAUUGGACAAUGGGCGCAAGCCUGAUCCAGCCAUGCCGCGUGGAUGAUGAAGGCCUUAGGGUUGUAAAGUCCUUUUAACGGGGAAGAUAAUGACGGUACCCGUAGAAUAAGCCCCGGCUAACUUCGCGCCAGCAGCCGC
rnacentral:rRNA from 1 species